rnacentral:rRNA from 1 species
ACGCUCGACACCUACGUGAGGCAGCAGUGGGGGAUAUUGCACAAUGGGGGGAACCCUGAUGCAGCGACGCCGCGUGAGGGAAGAAGGUUUUCGGAUUGUAAACCUCUGUCCUCAGGGAAGAAGAUGACGGUACCUGAGGAGGAAGCCACGGCUAACUACGUGCCAGCAGCCCGGAGUACUNAGCGGCGNGNGAGAG